rnacentral:lncRNA from 1 species
ACUAGUCUCAAGUCAUUUGGUGUUGGACACUAAGACAAACACAUAGGUGCUCGAAAAAGUAAUCGAGUACACUGAACAACGAUCAAAAGAGAGUUCGAACAUACAUGUCAUGUAAGAACUCGAAAGUUGCAAUAUGCAAAGUAGUCUUUUGACCUGAGGCAUCAUAGAUGUCUAAUGGUUAGGUCCUUGAUCUUUGAUCAUGUCAACGGCAUUCCAUCGAAGUGUCCACGGCAUUGUUGGGGUCAAGCUAUCUAGUCAUGUAGGCAUAUGAAUGCACAACAAGGGAUCUCUAACCUUCCAUGGUGGAAGGAGAAUACUCUAAGAUAUGAUUCUAAAGUCUUUGGUCAAAGCAUAUGAAUAUGACUUAGGAAGUUUGUUCCAAAUCAUAUUCAAGGGAAUCAUAUAGAUAAGUAUCACAUUGGUUAGUAGACAUGAAACAAACUAUCACUUAAACAAUGUUAUUAAGAGUAUUGUAUUAGAGAAAGACCGUAUUGCAUUGUAGUUGUAACUGGAUAGGUUCUCCAACCACUUCUACUUAGCUUGGGUAACCAUGACAUACUGCUAGGUGUCACUCAUGGUUUGUGGAAGCCCUAAUGAUUAGCAAACACUAAUCAUCAAGGGAGAAUUGAAAUGUGGUUUCAAUUCACAAUCGAUCGUUAAGAGUAACAAUCGCCCACUACCUCGCUAAUUGGAACCUAAUGGAUCGUACACCGAGUAAGGAUGUAUGUGAAGAAAUUAAAUGAAAUGGAUAAGCAAUUAAAUGGUUUAAUUGAAGAAUGGUCAAGGUUAAUUAAUUAGUUAAUUAAUUAUACGAAAUGUUCGUAUUGGGCUUAUAUGUUGGUUUUGGGUUUAAGCGGCCAAAAGUGUUUUGGUCCACAAGGCCUAUUAUGUUUAAGUUGUAUGACAACUAAAACAAAAUGGGCAUAUAGCCCAAUAACAUUAAUAUGGCCGGCCAUUAGGGUGGAUGAUGCAAACUUGGAUUAAUUACAAGUUUGCCACUCGCUUGUAAUAAAGUAUAAAAGCAACUUUAUAGCUUUAUUUUCAUUUAAGGGUUUUUCUUGGUGAAAUGAGGUGAAACACUUUCUCUCAUUUUCUCUAAAGAGGCCGGCCACUUAGAGGGGAUUUAGCUAGCAAUCUUUUCUUCUCUAAGUCAUCCAUUUCAUCUUCACACUUCAUCCUUGGUGUGGAGACUUAGAGACAUCAAGCUUUUGAUGUUUUUGGAGAACAAAUCCUCAAAUCCUCAAAGGAGUGAUGUGAAAAUUAUGUUGACACACAAAUUAAACCCUAUUGAUGACAAUUGUAGUAAUGAUGCAAGUAGGGAUCGUUCUAGACCGGGGAUUAACUAGGGAUGCUAAUCAACACAAAUAAGACUAAAAAACACUAAACUAGACUCUAUAGACUCAAAACUAACUCAAAACACUCAAAACAGCAAAUAACAACCAAAAAGACUCAAUUCUAGACCUAACAAGUGAUUUGGACGAAAAUAGGACUUCAAAGACUCAAAAGACUUAAAAGAAACAAGUUUUGACUCUAAAAACAAGACUUAAAAGUAAGGGGUUUGGUUUUGACGAAAAUUGUAAUUUAAAACAUAAACUUUGAAAACAAACUUUAACAAAAACGAUUUUGAUGAAAUAGAAUGGUGAAAGGCUAGUUAGAGGGUUUCUUCUCCACACAUGAAACAUAUGCAUACGACUCGAUUUCCAGUUACUCUUUCAACAAACCAUGAAUGACAAUG